rnacentral:lncRNA from 1 species
GGUAGAUAGUCCAAUUUUUAGGGGAGGUGCUGCAGAAAUUUCAAUAGAACCUAGACUAGUUUUAAUGAAUGACAUGAUUAAAUAAGUUCAUUUAGAUUAAUUCUAUAACUUGGUACAUAAUAAAUAGAGUGCUCUGAUUAUUUAUUAUCUUUAUUACUCAUUUAAUUAUUUACAUAUUUAUUUAUUUAUUUUAUUAUUGUUAAUACUAUUUAUUUAUUUAUUUGCAUUGAUUUUGGAUGUUUAAUUGUGCAUUGCAUUACGAUGUUUAAUUGAUUAAUAUGUCUGCAUUUGAUUGCAAUGUUUGAUUAAUUGUGUUGUGAUAAUGCUAUGCUUUGUUUGUGUGGAAUUGGGAUGAAGUGGACCACCGUGGGUUUGUGAGGACGGUUUGUGAUAUGGAUCCGAAUAUUAUAUGAUAUUUGACCGUCGGCCGAGAAAAUGGGAGAUCGGCGCCCCCGUGUGCACCUGAUGAUAUGGAU